CUAUGUUCCUUGGAACAGGACGUCACAGAGGGUGAGAAUCCCGUGCGAUGAGAUGACCCGGGUCUGUGUAAAGUUCCUUCGACGAGUCGAGUUGUUUGGGAAUGCAGCUCUAAGUGGGUGGUAAAUUCCAUCUAAAGCUAAAUAUUGGCGAGAGACCGAUAGCGAACAAGUACAGUGAUGGAAAGAUGAAAAGAACUUUGAAAAGAGAGUGAAAAAGUACGUGAAAUUGUUGAAAGGGAAGGGCUUGAGAUCAGACUUGGUAUUUUGCAUGUUGCUCUCUCGGGGGCGGCCGCUGCGGUUUACCGGGCCAGCAUCGGUUUGGAGCGGCAGGAUAAUGGCGGAGGAAUGUGGCACGGCUUCUGCUGUGUGUUAUAGCCUCUGACGAUACUGCCAGCCUAGACCGAGGACUGCGGUUUUUACCUAGGAUGUUGGCAUAAUGAUCUUAAGUCGCCCGUCUUGAAACACGGACCAAGGAGUCUAACGUCUAUGCGAGUGUUUGGGUGUAAAACCCGUACGCGUAAUGAAAGUGAACGAAGGUGGGGGCCCAUUAGGGUGCACCAUCGACCGAUCCUGAUGUGUUCGGAUGGAUUUGAGUAAGAGCAUAGCUGUUGGGACCCGAAAGAUGGUGAACUAUGCCUGAAUAGGGUGAAGCCAGAGGAAACUCUGGUGGAGGCUCGUAGCGGUUCUGACGUGCAAAUCGAUCGUCGAAUUUGGGUAUAGG
rnacentral:rRNA from 1 species